rnacentral:pre_miRNA from 1 species
GAUGUACAAGUGAACCUUGGGAGCGAUCUGAAACGAAUUCCUUGUUCUCAUGAAAAUAGUCAUGAAUGCGGCCCCAAUGUGUUCCAUGAGAUUGAUCCAUCCCUUUACCGCAUUAAAAGAAACAUUUAUCCAUGCCGACACCAAAAGGUUGUCUUCCUCCAAAAUGAAUUUUUCGGAUCUUUUUUGGUUUGGUCUCACAGCAGCAUUU